rnacentral:rRNA from 1 species
GAUGAACGCUAGCGGGAGGCCUAACACAUGCAAGCCGAGCGGUAUUGUUUCUUCGGAAAUGAGAGAGCGGCGUACGGGUGCGGAACACGUGUGCAACCUGCCUUUAUCUGGGGGAUAGCCUUUCGAAAGGAAGAUUAAUACUCCAUAAUAUAUUGAACGGCAUCGUUUAAUAUUGAAAGCUCCGGCGGAUAGAGAUGGGCACGCGCAAGAUUAGCUAGUUGGUGAGGUAACGGCUCACCAAGGCGAUGAUCUUUAGGGGGCCUGAGAGGGUGAUCCCCCACACUGGUACUGAGACACGGACCAGACUCCUACGGGAGGCAGCAGUGAGGAAUAUUGGUCAAUGGGUGCAAGCCUGAACCAGCCAUCCCGCGUGAAGGACGACUGCCCUAUGGGUUGUAAACUUCUUUUGUAUAGGGAUAAACCUACCCUCGUGAGGGUAGCUGAAGGUACUAUACGAAUAAGCACCGGCUAACUCCGUGCCAGCAGCCGCGGUAAUACGGAGGGUGCAAGCGUUAUCCGGAUUUAUUGGGUUUAAAGGGUCCGUAGGCGGACUUAUAAGUCAGUGGUGAAAGCCUGUCGCUUAACGAUAGAACUGCCAUUGAUACUGUAAGUCUUGAGUAUAUUUGAGGUAGCUGGAAUAAGUAGUGUAGCGGUGAAAUGCAUAGAUAUUACUUAGAACACCAAUUGCGAAGGCAGGUUACCAAGAUAUAACUGACGCUGAGGGACGAAAGCGUGGGGAGCGAACAGGAUUAGAUACCCUGGUAGUCCACGCCGUAAACGAUGCUAACUCGUUUUUGGGCUUUAGGGUUCAGAGACCAAGCGAAAGUGAUAAGUUAGCCACCUGGGGAGUACGCUCGCAAGAGUGAAACUCAAAGAAAUUGACGGGGGCCCGCACAAGCGGUGGAUUAUGUGGUUUAAUUCGAUGAUACGCGAGGAACCUUACCUAGACUUAAAUGGGAAUUGACAGCUUUAGAAAUAGAGCUUUCUUCGGACAAUUUUCAAGGUGCUGCAUGGUUGUCGUCAGCUCGUGCCGUGAGGUGUUAGGUUAAGUCCUGCAACGAGCGCAACCCCUGUCACUAGUUGCCAUCAUUCAGUUGGGGACUCUAGUGAGACUGCCUACGCAAGUAGAGAGGAAGGUGGGGAUGACGUCAAAUCAUCACGGCCCUUACGUCUUGGGCCACACACGUAAUACAAUGGCCGGUACAGAGGGCAGCUACACAGCGAUGUGAUGCAAAUCUCGAAAGCCGGUCUCAGUUCGGAUUGGAGUCCGCAACUCGACUCUAUGAAGCUGGAAUCGCUAGUAAUCGCGCAUCAGCCAUGGCGCGGUGAAUACGUUCCCGGGCCU